GGCCGCGGCGGACAAAGAGCCCCGGCGAGCGGCCCCAGCCGGAGCAGCGCCCGAGGGUCCCCGGGCAGCGCCCCCGCUGGCCGGCUCCCACCCGCCCCGUUCGGGAAUCAACAUAACAAAAGAGGACUCCUGUUUCUCAAUCAAAUAAAGCUCAGGAAAUUCGCAGCAGUGACCUAUGGGAACAGCAGUGAUCUACCAGGGGGAUAGUUGAAUCUCUCCAGAGUAACUAAAGAAGAGGUACAAAGCAAACACCCCAGCAGUCCAAUACAACUAUGGACUGUAGCUGCUUAAAGCUCCUUACAACUUUGUUGUUAAAUAAAGCAGAAGCAUGACAUGAA